GACUCCAACUACCAUGUUAUCGGUCAGAGUUCUGAAAAGCCCAUGCAUUUGGUUAGCUCUUCUUGUAUCCAAUGCUUUAGAGACUUUCAGGUUUCCAGAUUCCUCUCGUUCGACUUUGACUUCACGUGGGUAGAUCCUAGAGAGCUCUCCCAAAGGACCUUUAACCUUCAAGCCCUGCCCUUCCAAUGCAAUGGUUACAUUUGGUGGCACUUCUAUCAACUUCUUUCCUAUCCUAGAUUCCU
rnacentral:misc_RNA from 1 species